GAGCAGCUAAUAAAGAAGCUAUUGCUGCAUGAAUAAGCAUAGCAUAACUUGCAUGCUACCUCUUCAAUUAUUAUUUUUUAGUAAAUUACUUAAUCUUAGUUCCUCUUCAUUUCUACCCUAGCUGUUCUAAUGUUCUUUCAAUCUUUCUGCCCUUUUCUUUACUUUGUAAAUUUAGGUCAGAAUCUAUGAAUAACACAUCGUUUCAUCU
rnacentral:sRNA from 1 species